UAUACCACUAUUAUGAAAAAUAUUGAGACAUAAUUUGCAAACAUUUCAUUUGUAAACUUAGAAUUUCAAAGAAUACAGAUGUUGCUUUAUCGAAGGAGAUGGCUUAGACAACAGUUGUUCACAGUGAGAUGAGGAAUAAAAAGGAAUGAAUUGCUUUUGUGUCUUUGUCUCCUUUGAAACUUUCAAACCGAAUAUUUUUCUGUGCCUUUUAGGGUAUAAAUUCAGCAAGGAAAAUACCCCGUUAUGGCCAAAAGCGUGCUCGAUACAAUGUAUUGGCAAUGAACUAGAAAUGGAGAAAAAUGCCCUUUAGUACCAAGGAUACAUGCAUACCACCUCUCUCUCUGGUUUGCGUUGUGUAUUUACAGUACUUACUGGUUUUAUGUAAUAACUCCCAGCUGCAGGGUGGGAACAUGCUGUUGCUGUUCACACAUGCCUGCAAAGUAAUCGUGGCUUACAAGUAGCUAAAACUCCCUUUGUACCUCUGAAUCCAUCAUGCUUGCAAUGAACCAAGAAUAAUAUUCAUUAUUAGAUUGUUUUCAGUUGAGACCUGGGUCUAAACUGCACCCAAAUUCAAUCAUCUAAAUGUUUGUCUUGAUUUUUUUUUUCUUUCUUUUUUUUGUUUCCAGCAAACGUAGGUUUUGUCUCCAACCAGCAUAGGCUGACUACGUUCUUCGCUUGCUUACGUGGGUGGGAUGAACCGCUCUCUGAAGCGCCGCUGACCAUAGUAGGAGGCUAGGAACCUGGUUUAGAUACAGUCAAAAUACAGAUAGCAGAAUGUUUAUUGCCUCAUAGAUCAGCCGGGAACGUGCCCUCGUUAUCGGAGGAGACUGGCUCUGUCACCGCGCGGGAGGACCGAGGCGCCGGCUGGUGACCAAGCUGUAAUACCUGCCAGACACGACCAAAUCGGAUCAUUUUGAGAGUCAAGGACAAAUGAAGGAUGUUGCAAAAAACAAGUACAAGAAAAAAGGCCGAUGAGGAUGAAGACUCAAAGAAAAGCAACUCCUUUUCUUGAAGAGGAAUCUGCUAAUUUGGGUAUGGAGGAUAAACAGUAAUUUUACUUGUAAGUAACUUAUAAAAGGCGGGUUUAUGCAGUGGUAUGCUUUGACCUGUUACGUCAAAAUUGGAUAAAAAGCCAAAUAUAUAGGACACUUCAGACCCAAUUUUUUUCCAGAAUGUUGGAAGACUUCAAGAUUUUGCGUUAAAAUAAAGCAUUGAAAUUAUCUCCAGUUUGAACCAUUUGUUUGUUAACGUGACAGAAAUUAUAUUUUAAGUAAAUUCAUGUGCUUUCUCCAGUUUUUCAUGCUUUGCUUUCCCCAUCCUCCAGUUAGGAACACGGAUUCAUGUGAUAUGCAAAGAGCAAAUGGAAUUUUCCGGCACUGCCUAGAUGUCAGGUGCUGAGUGCAUGUUGUCUAUGUGCUAGAAAGUGUCUCCUUGAAAUGGAAAGGGGAUGGUACAGUGUGAUGCCUGUUUGCUGAUAUAGUGUACAUGGCUUUAUUAUUACAUUUAUGGACUCUGUUUUCUCAAAAAUGAUGUAUGGUUUGUUAGAUGCCAUUAUGAAAGAUAGUAUUUAGCCCUAUGACAAUAAGAUGUAUUAAUCUUCAUCGCUUUGGUAUGUUUUUAAGCAUUUCAUUCUUCAAUAACCUUCUCUAGCACGGAUUAUACGAAAUACAAGCAGAGUAAAAUGCAAUUGUACUAAAAUGCUUCCUUGCAUUACAUUUUCUGAACAUAAAAUCUUGAAGCAAUUACAGUAAGAAAAUACUUUUUAGAUAACAUUCACAAAUUUAAUCGUAGCAGUACGGUCUGAAUCAUCAACAUGAAUUAAAAUUGAAGGUAAUUUUGUUGUAUGUGGGGUUAUUUCUAUAUGGGAUAAAGUAUUUGUUAAAGACUGAGCAGCAGCUGAAAAGAACACCGAGUGAAAAACAUUUUCAAUAUACUUUAAAUCUAGAAUCUAAUUUCAGAGUAUUCCCCUUAGAUUUCACUCGAUAAAGCGGUUAGAAAUCAGACCUGAAUUGGGCCCAACACCAUAGUUUUUAAUAUUCUGAUAGGAAAAUAGCAAAUUGCUAAACAAGUGCCAUUUUGUGUGCAUUUUUCCGAGGAAUUGCCAUUUUUUGCCUCUUCCCAACCGUGGUAACUAACACGGGGAGGUGCCAGCCCCUUCUUCCACCUUGCAGCCCAGCGGGUGCCGUGGCAGACUGUUUUAGGGACGGGAUGGCAGACGUCUUUUUUCUCUGAGUUUUAGAAGUGCCUAAAGAUAAAUAGAUCAAGUUGUUCCACUUUUGGUACAUUUUUACAAGCACAUGAAAAAGAAACUGGCUUUUGGGUGUUCUUGUAAAUAUUUUACUAGAAAGUGGCCUCAUGAGGGAUUCUCUCUUUUGUUACAGCCAGAUUCCUCAGAAAUAGGGCUUUUAGUAAAAAUUGCUUUGGGAUCACAUCAACAUAACAUGUCCUAGUUUCCAGUUCUGCAGUGAUGUGAGGCGUUUCUGAGAGUAUGCUCUUUUUUGAAGACAUUUAUGGUAAUGUAUAAACCUCUAGACCAGUUACUAAUUUUUACAUAAUUAAAACUUCAUUAAAAAAAG